rnacentral:sRNA from 1 species
GAAUGACCCCGACUAUGGUUUGCCCAAA